rnacentral:rRNA from 1 species
GAUGAACGCUGGCGGCGUGCUUAACACAUGCAAGUCGAACGGAAAGGCCCAAGCUUGCUUGGGUACUCGAGUGGCGAACGGGUGAGUAACACGGGGGUAACCUGCCCUGCACUUUGGGAUAACCUCGGGAAACUGGGUCUAAUACCGGAUAGGAGCUUGUUCUGCAUGCUAUGGGGUGAAGAUUUUCCGCUGUGGGGGGAGGACGCGGCGUUUCGCCUGUUGGUGGGGGGGUUGGGGUAUAAAGGCGCCGUGGGGUGUCGGGCCUGAGAGGGGGUAGGGCGACAGUGUGAGAGAGAUACGGCGCAGAGUCCUACGGGGGGCAGAGGAGGGGAAUAUAGCACAAUGUGGGCGAGCCUGAUGCGGCGACGCCGCGUGGGGGAUGAGGGCGUUCGGGUUGUAAACUCCUUUCGCGAGGGACGAGGCGCGUGUGUGACGGUACCUGGAGAAGAAGCACCGGCUAACUACGUG